rnacentral:rRNA from 1 species
AACGAACGCUGGCGGCAGGCCUAACACAUGCAAGUCGAGCGAAGCCUUCGGGCUUAGCGGCGGACGGGUGAGUAACGCGUGGGAACGUGCCCUUUGCUACGGAAUAGCCCCGGGAAACUGGGAGUAAUACCGUAUGUGCCCUUCGGGGGAAAGAUUUAUCGGCAAAGGAUCGGCCCGCGUUGGAUUAGGUAGUUGGUGGGGUAAUGGCCUACCAAGCCGACGAUCCAUAGCUGGUUUGAGAGGAUGAUCAGCCACACUGGGACUGAGAUACGGCCCAGACUCCUACGGGAGGCGGCAGUGGGGAAUCUUAGACAAUGGGGGAAACCCUGAUCUAGCCAUGCCGCGUGAUCGAUGAAGGCCUUAGGGUUGUAAAGAUCUUUCAGUGGGGAAGAUAAUGACUGUACCCACAGAAGAAGCCCCGGCUAACUCCGUGCCAGCCGCCGCGGUAA